AGGAGGAGGAGGAGGGAGAGAAGGAGAGAGAAAUUAACAAGUUUUAUUAUGCCUGUGUUCUCUCUCUCUUUGUCUCUUUGACUCUCUCUCUCCU
rnacentral:miRNA from 1 species